rnacentral:rRNA from 1 species
AUUGAACGCUGGCGGCAGGCCUAACACAUGCAAGUCGAACGAGUGGCGGACGGGUGAGUAAUGUAUGGGAAACUGCCUGAUGGAGGGGGAUAACCACUGGAAACGGUAGCUAAUACCGCAUACCAUCAGAUGGGGCCAGAUGGGAUUAGCGAGUUGGGGGGGUAACGGCUAACCAAGGCGACGAGCCCUAGCUGGUCUGAGAGGAUGACCAGCCACACGGGAACUGAGACACGGUCCAGACUCCGACGGGAGGCAGCAGUGGGGAAUAUUGCACAAUGGGCGCAAGCCUGAUGCAGCCAUGCCGCGUGUAUGAAGAAGGCCUUCGGGUUGUAAAGUACUUUCAGCGGGGAGGCGUUACCCGCAGAAGAAGCACCGGCUAACUCCGUGCCAGCAGCCGCGGUAAUUC